rnacentral:rRNA from 1 species
GACGAACGCUGGCGGCGUGCUUAACACAUGCAAGUCGAACGGAAAGGCCCUGCUUUUGUGGGGUACUCUAGUGGCGAACGUGUGAGUAACACGUGAGUAACCUGCCCUUGACUUUGGGAUAACUUCAGGAAACUGGGGCUAAUACCGGAUAGGAGCUCCUGCUGCAUGGUGGGGGUUGGAAAGUUUCGGCGGUUGGGGAUGGACUCGCGGCUUAUCAGCUUGUUGGUGGGGUAGUGGCUUACCAAGGAUUUGACGGGUAGCCGGCCUGAGAGGGUGACCGGAGACACUGGAAAUGAGAUAAGGCCCAGAGUCCUACGGGAGGCAGCAGUGGGGAAUAAUGCAGAAAGGGCGGAAGCCUGAUGCAGCAAAGCCGCGAGCGGGAUGAAGGCAUUCGGGUUGUAAACCGAUUUCGCCUGUGACGAAGAGUGAGUGAAGGUAAUGGGUAAAGAAGCAAAGGCUAACGCCGUG